rnacentral:rRNA from 1 species
ACGGGGGAUCCAAGCGUUAUCCGGAAUCAUUGGGUUUAAAGGGUCCGUAGGCGGUUUAAUAAGUCAGUGGUGAAAGCCCAUCGCUCAACGAUGGAACGGCCAUUGAUACUGUUAGACUUGAAUUACUUGGAAGUAACUAGAAUAUGUAGUGUAGCGGUGAAAUGCUUAGAUAUUACAUGGAAUACCAAUUGCGAAGGCAGGUUACUACGAGUUUAUUGACGCUGAUGGACGAAAGCGUGGGGAGCGAACAGGA